rnacentral:rRNA from 1 species
CCUACGGGUGGCAGCAGUAGGGAAUCUUCCACAAUGGGCGAAAGCCUGAUGGAGCAACGCCGCGUGGGUGAAGAAGGUCUUCGGAUCGUAAAACCCUGUUGUUAGAGAAGAAAGUGCGUGAGAGUCACUGUUCACGCUUCGCCGGUAUCUAACCAGAAAGCCACGGCUAACUACGUGCCAGCAGCCGCGGUAAUACGUAGGUGGCAAGCGUUAUCCGGAUGUAUUGGGCGUAAAGGGAACGCAGGCGGUCUUUUAAGUCUGAUGUGAAAGCCUUCGGCUUAACCGGAGUAGUGCAUUGGAAACUGGUAUACUUGAGUGCAGAAGAGGAGAGUGGAACUCCGUGUGUAGCGGUGAAAUGCGUAGAUAUAUGGAAGAACACCAGUGGCGAAGGCGGCUCUCUGGUCUGUAACUGACGCUGAGGUUCGAAAGCGUGGGUAGCAAACAGGAUUAGAUACCCUUGUAGUC